CAGUGACUCUGAGAUGUCAGGCUAUUUUGAGCCACACUGCCCUUUUCUGGUACAGACAGACUGUGGAGCAGGGGCUGGAGUUACUCAUUUACUUUAGAAACCAGGCUCCCAUAGACGAUACAGGGAUGCCCAAGGAUCGGUUCUCAGCUGCCAUGCCCAAUGCCUCCUCCUCUGCCUUGAAGAUCCAGCCCAUGGAACCCAGGGACUCAGCUGUGUACCUCUGUGCCAGCAGCUUAGCCACAGCGCUGCAGACUCACAGU
rnacentral:lncRNA from 1 species